rnacentral:misc_RNA from 1 species
GAAAAUUUGUCAAGUCAUACUUCAAAAGCGCUGCGUAUAUAACGGAGGCGCCUCCGCGAGCCUCUUCUUUCUACUCCGUUCCUUCUCGCCCAUUUUCUCGAGCACAGAAUUCUUCUACGCCAUCGGCGAUUUAGAUUAAUGUAGUAAAAACAAAUUCCAAUUUAACUUCAGGUGCCUCUUCCCCUUCUCUUCGGUUCUUCCGGUUUGGUAAGGAUCCGUUCUUCCUUUAUUUUCCCUGCUCUUAUGUUUUCUAUCCUUUUGUGCACUGAAACCCUAAUUUUUGCACGAAUCUUGAUCUCCUAGCUGUUGCUUCCAAAUUUGAUAUUUUUUCCUUUGCAAAAUGUUUCGGCUUUGAUUUCCAGAUUUUCUUUCUGGGUUUUCUGUACAGAAAUUUGGGCAUUCGUCUUGUAGUGUUUUUUGAUCAUCUAUGUUGUAAUUAGAUGGUCAUAAACAAUACAAACAUGUCUAAUUUCUUGUGAUUCCUGUAUAGCUUCUAAUUUGAACUCCCUUAAAAUCCAAAUCAAUUAUCGAAAUAUCAGUGUAGAAAAAACGAAGGGAAAAAAAAAAUGUCGUCUGCUGGUGUUGCUCUCAGUCCAAUUCACACGGGUUCCACACUUCCUUCUGAUUAUGUGAAUGCCCAACCACUCCCCUGCUCUGAUGAGUACAUCUUGAUAUUUCUCUCUGUUGGGGGCUCUAUGAGCCCAAUGCGUGUUUUAGAGUCUGAUUCCAUUGAAUAUGUGAAGCUACGGAUUCAGUCAUGUAAAGGGUUUGUUGUAAAGAACCAAAAGCUGGUCUGUGGAGGCCGAGAGCUAUCAAGGAGCAAUUCUCUUAUCCGUGACUAUGGUGUCACUGAUGGGAAUGUUCUGCAUUUGGUUCUUAGGCUUUCUGAUCUCCAGGUUAUAAAGGUUAAGACUGCUAGCGAUAAAGAAUAUACCUUUUCUGUGGAGCGAGGGAGAGAUGUUGGGUAUGUGAAACAACAGGUUGCUAAGAAGGAGAGGGAGUUUGAUGACCUUGAUGAGCAAGAGGUCGUUUGUGAUGGUGAGCCGCUUGAGGAUCAUUGGCUUAUUGAUGAUAUCUGUAAAUAUAAAAAUGAUGUCGAGGUUCAUUUUUUGGUGAGGAAAUCUGCAAAGGUUCGGCCAAGGCAUGUGAAUAAGAAUUUAGAAUUGUCUAUUGUGGCACCACAGUUGAAUGAAGAAGAGAAUGCUAGUAGGCAAUAUGAUGUUUGUGAAGGGAAUGGUGGGAGAAGUUAUGAAGUUGAUAGACAGAUUGUUCUGAGAAAGCCUCCUGAUAGAGAUUUUCUACUGGAACCAAUUAUUGUUAAUCCCAAAAUUGAAUUGUCCUCUGUGAUUUGGAAUAUUGUAAAUGCUACCUUUGACGGAUUGGAGGGUGGAAAUAGUCCAAUCAGAUCUAUGGAGGGUACUGGGGGGGCUUAUUUCAUGCAAGAUUCUUCUGGGCAGAAGUUUGUUUCUGUUUUCAAGCCAAUUGAUGAGGAACCUAUGGCUGUGAACAACCCUCGAGGGCUACCACUGUCUUCUGAUGGUGAAGGUUUGAAGAAAGGCACAAGAGUUGGGGAAGGAGCUAUGAAGGAGGUUGCAGCUUACAUUUUGGAUCAUCCAAAGAGUGGACGUCGAUCUUUGUCUGGCGAUGAGAAGGGCUUUUCUGGGGUUCCACCUACAGUUAUGAUUAAGUGCUUUCAUAAAGGGUUUAACCAUCUAGAGGAUAUAAAUGUCAAGAUUGGCUCCUUGCAGAUGUUCGUGGACAACAAUGGAAGUUGUGAAGAUAUGGGUCCCGGAUCUUUUCCAGUUAAGGAAGUUCAUAAAAUCUGUGUGUUGGAUAUAAGAAUGGCAAAUGCAGAUAGGCAUGCUGGGAAUAUAUUAUUGAGAAAAGAUGCAGAAGAUGGACAGACUAUGCUGAUUCCAAUAGACCAUGGAUAUUGCCUACCUGAAAGUGUAAGUAUUUCAUGCAUAACCUGCUUAUUAGUUUUUGGAAACUUAAUACUUAUUGUCUCUCCCUUUGUUGUUGGUUUAGCUUCAUUUAUCAUUUAUCUCUCCCUUUGUUGUUGGUUUAGCUUCAUUUAUCAUUUAUCUUUUACAUUGCUUGUUUCAAUUAAUUGAGAUUUGAAAUUAAACAUAUUUUGCAGCAGUUGAGGUUUUGGACCUCGAUUGCCACUAUUAGAUGUUAUUAUAUAUUGGUCAAUUUGUAGGCUUAAUCAUGUAUUCUUGCUUCUUGCAGUUUGAGGAUUGCACAUUUGAUUGGCUUUAUUGGCCUCAAGCUCGUCAACCUUUUGACUCUAGCACUGUUGAAUAUGUAAAAUCAUUGGAUGCUGAAGAGGAUAUUGCUCUUCUGAAGUUCCAUGGAUGGGACAUGCCUGUUGAAUGUGCACGCACACUUCGCAUCUCCACCAUGCUUCUGAAGAAGGGAGUGGAGAGGGGCCUCACCCCCUUUGCUAUUGGAAGGAUAAUGUGCAGAGAGACCUUGAAGAAGGUAUCUGUUAUUGAGGAGAUUGUCCAUGAAGCACAGGAUUCUGUUCUUCCUGGCACAGGCGAAGUUGCAUUCCUUGAAACUGUAUCGCACAUCAUGGAUCGUCGCCUUGAUGAGAUUGCCAGAUCUCUAUCUUGAUGGACUGCUAAAUUUUGUGGAUAACAUGUUUAUAAAUGUGUGCAUGCACAUUCGUUAUCGUACAUGUGCAUUUGUGGCAGGGAUGCUCAAUCGUUCCUAUAGUUUGUUUGCAUCUGAUUUCCUAUUCUUUCAUAUGAUUACUGGUAGAUUUUUUUUUUAAUUUGAUGGAACUUGGAACCUAGUCUUUUUAUCAUGAAUGUGGUUGGCUUCUAAAGUUAUUUCUGUAUUUC